GACGAACGCUGGCGGCGUGCUUAACACAUGCAAGUCGAACGGAAAGGCCCUGCUUUUGUGGGGUGCUCGAGUGGCGAACGGGUGAGUAACACGUGAGUAACCUGCCCUUGACUUUGGGAUAACUUCAGGAAACUGGGGCUAAUACCGGAUAGGAGCUCCUGCUGCAUGGUGGGGGUUGGAAAGUUUCGGCGGUUGGGGAUGGACUCGCGGCUUAUCAGCUUGUUGGUGGGGUAGUGGCUUACCAAGGCUUUGACGGGUAGCCGGCCUGAGAGGGUGACCGGCCACAGUGGGACCGAGAUACGGCCCAGACUCCUACGGGAGGCAGCAGUGGGGAAUAUUGCACAAUGGGCGGAAGCCUGAUGCAGCAACGCCGCGUGCGGGAUGACGGCCUUCGGGUUGUAAACCGCUUUCGCCUGUGACGAAGCGUGAGUGACGGUAAUGGGUAAAGAAGCACCGGCUAACUACGUG
rnacentral:rRNA from 1 species